UACGUAGGUGGCAAGCGUUAUCCGGAAUUAUUGGGCGUAAAGAGCGCGCAGGUGGUUAAUUAAGUCUGAUGUGAAAGCCCACGGCUUAACCGUGGAGGGUCAUUGGAAACUGGUUGACUUGAGUGCAGAAGAGGGAAGUGGAAUUCCAUGUGUAGCGGUGAAAUGCGUAGAGAUAUGGAGGAACGCCAGUGGCGAAGGCGGCUUCCUGGUCUGCAACUGACACUGAGGCGCGAAAGCGUGGGGAGCAAACAGG
rnacentral:rRNA from 1 species